ACAAAACCGAAAGUAAAAUACGCAAAAAGGGAAACUUAAGAACGGGCAUCAUAGAAACCCAGCACAUAGAAGACAUAUACGGCUUUUAAAACUUGCUUUCAAUGAGAAUAACAGAUAACUCAAUUGAAAUGUGACUUUGGCCGUGUAGCCCCAAAAAGUUACAUAUUGCAGCGUUAAAGGUAGGGGGAUUCUACUUUGCCAAUCAGACGUAGUUACUAGGCGGGCCUGACAUUUCAUUGGACCAUUCAAGGUUCUCCUACCUGAUUCCCUUCGGGUAGGUUACAACUUCAAUGUAACCAGAGUGUUGAACGGUACUGGAGGUAGUUCUUCAGUUAAUUUGAUGUCUGCCAUAGAGGAGUUUUGGCCAGGAAUGUCCAGACUUUCACUUUUCGACUUUCAAAGUCUUAAGAUUGUUGUAAUUUCAAAGGCCUGUUAGCAUAAUGUAGCUAACAGUAUAUGUUUUUUUGCUAGCUAUAACUGUAUUCUUGUCUCCGCUAGCUGAUUCAUUGAGCGGUAUGCAGCUAGCUAGCGUUGAAUAGUCCCUAGGUGGUCUCACACGUUUCUUACUUUGCCGUGGACAACAAUUUACUGUUAAAUGUGAACUGACUGGAAGAACUAGCUAACUAAUAAAGAACAACGAUAUGGUUUAAAGGGUUAUUGUAUCCUACGAUAAGUCGUCGGUGAGAAGGAAAAGCGGAAUUCGAACUGCCUCGAUGUGUCGUUUGGAUGUGGAGUCUGACGUGAAAGGACCUGAACAACAUAGACAUGUCCUCCCUUCGUCAAGAUAUCAAAAAUGAAAGCAAAAUUGUAAAAUCAAUAUCCGACAAAGCAACAUGAAAAGAAGAAAAAACUGUGGCGGGACAACUCCACAGGAAUUACAGAAAAAAGAAACUGCUAAAAGCUGUAAUGACAUAACACCAUCAAGCGAGGAAAAUGAUACACUUCAACAUGUUCAAGAAGCAAAUUAAGAAGAUGCAGCCUCCCCAAGAGAACAGCCAUUCUCACCUCAGCAGGUAAAUGUCCUGCCAUCAACUCCUAAAAGAAGAGAGACAUCUCUACAGACACCAGGACCAAGGAAGACAUCUACCCCAAAGGAAUCACCCAAAAAGAGGAACAGAAGAAAGAAAACACUAUCAAAAUUUUGGGCAAAGUUGCACUACACAGAAGAGAAGCUUCUGGAGAGGACCAAAGAGAUGGUCAAUCCAAAGAAAAGACUGAAAAGACUUGAGAUGAUGGCCAAGAGGAAGCAGGUAAUUGUCAACAUGGAAGGCAAAGAGGUGUCAUCAGAGAACAUUACAGCCGGAGAAGACUAAUGCACACACUUGUUAGCCGCUUCCUUCAUCGAGAUGAAGUCAACACUAAUAAAUGGGUAAUCUGGAGAACUUUGGAAAAAGGGACAGUUAUUCCAUAAGAGAGCCUUAAUAACGGACGCUAUGGCAUAUCUUCAUAGAAGAUUUCUGUCUGAGAAUCCAAGGCACAACCUUUCCAAGGCUCAAUUCUUUAAACGAGUCACAGACAGAGAAACAUGUGCUUGCAAAAGGCAUGGAAACUUUGGCUUGAAGAUAAAGAAGCUGCACCAGCUUGGGGUCAUAGAAACAUCAUCCCCAGGCCAGUGUCUGUAGUGACGAUGACAUGUCCUGCUCUGUUUUUGGAUGUUUUCAGCCUAUGUAUGUUAUGUACUUUUGAAGCACUGCAAAAUGAAUUUGAUUGAACUUGAAUCCAUGAUUGUGCCAAUCUCUCAUUUAUUUUCUACAUUAAAUGUCAUGUUUUUAAUCAUACCUCAGUCUUAGUAUACUUAUUAUCAUUACAGAAAUUGUCGACCUCAUUUCUGAAACCUAGGUAUCAUUACCGCAACAGGUGUUCAUUUAAUGUUAUUUUAAUGAAUGGAAAAAUUGUAAAUUGCUUUUAAAUGCAUGUGCAGAAUCUAUAAGUUAUGUUCUUUCAGGUUUGCCACAUCAUUUUGAAAAUGUCAGGUUUCAAUGAAAUAUCUAAAAAUAUUAGGUUGUAGAUUGUGGAAGAUGUUGCGGUAAUGAGAGAGCAGUCAAAAUCAAAUGUUAUAUUUGUUUCAGAGUUUCAAGUAACUGCAUGACUAACAUUUUCAAUUAUUAUUAUUUUUUGAUUAUUAGCUUUCCUAAUGGUAUCGACUGUUGUGGUGAUGAGAUUUUUAAGGACUUGUUUUUGAAAAUGUUAAAUGUGUUAAUUUAAAAACAUUUACUGACAAUUUAAUGCUCACAAACACUUCAGACCUUGUUAUUAAUGCCUAAAAAGGAAAUGUAUUGCAAGUCUAAAGAUUUCAUGUUUGAAAUCUUUGAAACCAAGAUUUUGUGAGUCACCCUAAUACAGAACAUCAAUAGACAAGAACAGCUCAAGUACAGAACUACAUAAAAAUUUUUUAAAAGGCACGCGUAGCCUACAUAUCAAUGCGUACACACAAAAUAUCUACCGUAAUUUCCGGACUAUAAGCCGCAACUUUGUUCCCAGGCUUCGAACCUCGCGGCUUAAACAAUGACGCGGCUAAUAUAUGGAUUUUUCCCGCUUUCAUUUUUUUUUUUCUCCAAAAAACACAUUCUGUGACGUGCUCAGAUUUUUGGCGGCAUGAAGCUUUCAUUAGACCAAUGAAAUUGGCAAACGGGUUAAGGUCAAACAACUUUUUUGUUUACUGUUUAGAUUAAAUCGAGCGCUCUCAAACUUCCCAUCAUUCUGAUUACGGUAGUCAUUUUGUCACCAUCAUGGCAAAGACACGGAGAAAUGCAUAUGAUGCAGCUUUCAAGUUGAAGGCGAUUGAUCUGGCUGUUGGAAAAGGAAAUGGAGCUGCUGCACGGGAGCUUGGUCUUAAUGAGUCGAUAAGACGUUGGAAACGGCAGCGUGAGGAAUUGACUCAGUGCAAAAAGACAACUAAAGCUUACUGCAAUUUUUUUUUGUUACAAGCCGUGUUUCAUUAAAGCCUGUGUAAAGUUAAUUUGUUUCAAUGUACCGGUAGGCACCUGCGGCUUAUAGACAUGUGUGGCUUAUUUAUGUUCAAAAUAAAAAAAUGUUUUUAAUUCAGUGGGUGCGGCUUAUAUUCAGGUGCGCUUAAUAGUCCGUAAUUUAUGGUAGGAGAGGUGUUACUCAUUUGUCAUGUGAAACGUAUUCUACUAUAUUCCAACGAUAGAAUUAGAUGAAUCAUUAUAUUUCCAUGAUUCCAACAGUUCAAUUAACUAGACCUAGAUUUGUUUGCCUAUAUCAUGCUGCGUGGCAGUGUGAAAAUUAUUUUAAAGUGCAGGAUAUGCAUUUUCUUUAAGGGAGGGGGGUAGUUGGAUUGAACGGUUUUAAAUGGAGAAAGCCCCAUUUUGAAAUCACGUAUAAUUUGUUUCCACCCUAGGGUCAGGAACUACUCAGGAUAUUUAUUCGAAACAUAAAAUAACUGUCAUACCGUCAAAUGUGAAUAAUAUUGUGAUAUAUUUUUUCCAUAUUGCCCAGCCCUAGCCUGGUGUCCAGUCUUGCUGUAGAGCGCCAUGGCAAUAUUGGCUCAUUGACAUGUAAAGAGUGCCCUCUUCAGGACAAAUAUUGAAAUGCAAAAAGAAAUGUUCAGUGUUUCUCUGCAUUUUAUAUCGGUCCUUUUCGGUCUAAUAAAUGCUGACACAAAUACAUCCGUAAAAGGCUAAUAUCUGCCGACCAGCUCAACUGUUCACUGUACAACAAGGCACAUAAGUAAUAAUCUCAUGCUGUGUCUAUUAGUGAAGUGGCAGACCUUUCUGAAAGGAGGCAUGUUACAAUUAAUUGAUCGUUUUUGCUAAUCAAGUGAGCAUCUUUGUGUCCAUAGUGAUGUAUAAGACCAAAUACUUUAGAAAAUAAGUCAUUCUGAUACUUCAGAAUGUAGGUAAAAUGUUGCAGGCAGUUAUUUCCCCCUUGACUCUGGAUCCAUAUGCUCAACCCCAACGAAAUCAGUAGUUGAGGGCUUCUCAGUGUCUUGCAUAGUGACUAACUUAUUACCUCAUGAAUGUAACUCAUCUCGUCAGGGUGGCUCUGCCACCCAGUGACAGAGCAGUCUGUCCGCUUAACUGUUCAUAACUCUGAUAGUAUCCGCCUUAUAUCCCCACUGCACUUCCUUGUUUUCUUUUCUCCUCCCACUUUCCGCCACAGCCUGCACCCCUCCUUGCACUCUCCUGGUUGUAUAGCUGUUGCCUCCAGGGCUGAGAGACAUUAUCACGUGCUUGUCUCAGCUAACUUUGUUGCCUCAACUUACUUCAUGUGUGUAUUAACAAGUGUUAUGAUACAGGAAAUUUGACUUCGAUACCAAUUUUAGUAUCACGAUACUCUAUUCCAAAACAGUACCACAAAGGCGUGUUAAUAACUAAAGUCACAGAAUGGCGCUUGAUCCAGACUCAACUUCUGCUCUGUUCCAUCGGUGGCCAUCUUUUGAGUUAAAUAUCGUAUGCAUGUAAUGAAUCAAUAAUACAAUCAUCCAAUCAAUCUGACUUUGGUAAAGGCAAUCUACAAAACAACACUGGUAAUUUAUUUCAAAGGUAAAUAAAAAAAGGGGGGGGGGGGGAAAUCAAGAUGGAGCCUAGGUCUAUUUUCAGUACAGGUGAAUGCAUAUUAUUUCAUUGGAGUGUGUGUGUGAGUUAUUGUGCUUGUUUUAGCUGAUUUUCAUGGGGCUCCAAAGACAAACAAUCCCAACAUUUGCAUAUUUCUGUUACGGAACGCCUACUCUGAAGUGUGCAAUUAACUCAAUUUGCCUUUG
rnacentral:lncRNA from 1 species